AGAUGAGGUCUCACCAUAUCGCCCAGGCUGGUCUCAAAUCCCUGGACUCAAGUGACCCUCCUGCCUUGACCUCCCAAAGUGCUGUUAUUACAAGCAUGAGCUACAGUGCCUGGCCACCACCAGGGAUGGUCAAGUUGGUAUCCAUCGUGAAGCUAAAUGAAUAUCUGGACAGGAGUCAGACAAAGAGAAGGAGAAUCCAGGAGAAGAUGAAGCAGCUGCAGGCCUGUCUGCUACCCUAUAUCCGGGGAAGAGCCAGAAAUUGCUGACCAUAGAGAAUUACAUUGUCCAGCUUUUCCUCUAUUAAAUGGAGCAGCAACAAAAGGCCAGAUCAUUCAACCUAUGCUUCCUCAAGUCUGAUAACAUUGGUGUUUCUCUUAGAUAUCAGUUCAAGUAAGGAGUUGCCAAUAGAAGCGAAGAUGCCAGGAAUCAUCGUUUUUAUUUCAGUGUCCUUACGAAGACCUUUGAGCACAAUGGAAAGAUGAGGCAACAUUAAAUAUUACUGGAAUGGGAUAUGAAAG
rnacentral:lncRNA from 1 species